rnacentral:rRNA from 1 species
GACGAACGCUGGCGGCGUGCUUAACACAUGCAAGUCGAACGGAAAGGCCCUGCUUUUGUGGGGUGCUCGAGUGGCGAACGGGUGAGUAACACGUGAGUAACCUGCCCUUGACUUUGGGAUAACUUCAGGAAACUGGGGCUAAUACCGGAUAGGAGCUCCUGCUGCAUGGUGGGGGUGGGAAAGUUUCGGCGGUUGGGGAUGGACUCGCGGCUUAUCAGCUUGUUUGUGGGGGAGUUGCUUACCAAGGCUUUGACGGGUAGCCGGCCUGAGAGGGUGACCGGCCACAUUGGGACUGAGAUACGGCCCAGACUCCUACGGGAGGCAGCAGUGGGGAAUAUUGCACAAUGGGCGGAAGCCUGAUGCAGCAACGCCGCGUGCGGGAUGACGGCCUUCGGGUUGUAAACCGCUUUCGCCUGUGACGAAGCGUGAGUGACGGUAAUGGGUAAAGAAGCACCGGCUAACUACGUG